UGGGUUCGUAGCUCUAACUGGGAGAGCGCCUGUCUUGCACACAGGAGGUUGUGGGUUUCUCCUUCGGAGAUGCUUGCGCGAACAACUCCCACCAAUCCAC
rnacentral:tRNA from 1 species